UGCAUCGACCGGGAAUCGAACCCGGGCCGCCCGCGUGGCAGGCGAGCAUUCUACCACUUAACCACCGAUGG
rnacentral:tRNA from 1 species